CACACUAUCAUUAACUGAAUCCAUAGGUUAAUGAGGCGAACCGGGGGAACUGAAACAUCUAAGUACCCCGAGGAAAAGAAAUCAACCGAGAUUCCCCCAGUAGCGGCGAGCGAACGGGGAGGAGCCCAGAGCCUGAAUCAGUGUGUGUGUUAGUGGAAGCGUCUGGAAAGGCGCGCGAUACAGGGUGACAGCCCCGUACACAAAAAUGCACAUACUGUGAGCUCGAUGAGUAGGGCGGGACACGUGGUAUCCUGUCUGAAUAUGGGGGGACCAUCCUCCAAGGCUAAAUACUCCUGACUGACCGAUAGUGAACCAGUACCGUGAGGGAAAGGCGAAAAGAACCCCGGCGAGGGGAGUGAAAAAGAACCUGAAACCGUGUACGUACAAGCAGUGGGAGCCUCUUAAUGGGGUGACUGCGUACCUUUUGUAUAAUGGGUCAGCGACUUAUAUUCUGUAGCAAGGUUAACCGAAUAGGGGAGCCGAAGGGAAACCGAGUCUUAACUGGGCGUUAAGUUGCAGGGUAUAGACCCGAAACCCGGUGAUCUAGCCAUGGGCAGGUUGAAGGUUGGGUAACACUAACUGGAGGACCGAACCGACUAAUGUUGAAAAAUUAGCGGAUGACUUGUGGCUGGGGGUGAAAGGCCAAUCAAACCGGGAGAUAGCUGGUUCUCCCCGAAAGCUAUUUAGGUAGCGCCUCGUGAAUUCAUCUCCGGGGGUAGAGCACUGUUUCGGCAAGGGGGUCAUCCCGACUUACCAACCCGAUGCAAACUGCGAAUACCGGAGAAUGUUAUCACGGGAGACACACGGCGGGUGCUAACGUCCGUCGUGAAGAGGGAAACAACCCAGACCGCCAGCUAAGGUCCCAAAGUCAUGGUUAAGUGGGAAACGAUGUGGGAAGGCCCAGACAGCCAGGAUGUUGGCUUAGAAGCAGCCAUCAUUUAAAGAAAGCGUAAUAGCUCACUGGUCGAGUCGGCCUGCGCGGAAGAUGUAACGGGGCUAAACCAUGCACCGAAGCUGCGGCAGCGACGCUUAUGCGUUGUUGGGUAGGGGAGCGUUCUGUAAGCCUGUGAAGGUGGCCUGUGAGGGUUGCUGGAGGUAUCAGAAGUGCGAAUGCUGACAUAAGUAACGAUAAAGCGGGUGAAAAGCCCGCUCGCCGGAAGACCAAGGGUUCCUGUCCAACGUUAAUCGGGGCAGGGUGAGUCGACCCCUAAGGCGAGGCCGAAAGGCGUAGUCGAUGGGAAACAGGUUAAUAUUCCUGUACUUGGUGUUACUGCGAAGGGGGGACGGAGAAGGCUAUGUUGGCCGGGCGACGGUUGUCCCGGUUUAAGCGUGUAGGCUGGUUUUCCAGGCAAAUCCGGAAAAUCAAGGCUGAGGCGUGAUGACGAGGCACUACGGUGCUGAAGCGACAAAUGCCCUGCUUCCAGGAAAAGCCUCUAAGCAUCAGGUAACAUCAAAUCGUACCCCAAACCGACACAGGUGGUCAGGUAGAGAAUACCAAGGCGCUUGAGAGAACUCGGGUGAAGGAACUAGGCAAAAUGGUGCCGUAACUUCGGGAGAAGGCACGCUGAUAUGUAGGUGAAGCGACUUGCUCGUGGAGCUGAAAUCAGUCGAAGAUACCAGCUGGCUGCAACUGUUUAUUAAAAACACAGCACUGUGCAAACACGAAAGUGGACGUAUACGGUGUGACGCCUGCCCGGUGCCGGAAGGUUAAUUGAUGGGGUUAGCGGUAACGCGAAGCUCUUGAUCGAAGCCCCGGUAAACGGCGGCCGUAACUAUAACGGUCCUAAGGUAGCGAAAUUCCUUGUCGGGUAAGUUCCGACCUGCACGAAUGGCGUAAUGAUGGCCAGGCUGUCUCCACCCGAGACUCAGUGAAAUUGAACUCGCUGUGAAGAUGCAGUGUACCCGCGGCAAGACGGAAAGACCCCGUGAACCUUUACUAUAGCUUGACACUGAACAUUGAGCCUUGAUGUGUAGGAUAGGUGGGAGGCUUUGAAGUGUGGACGCCAGUCUGCAUGGAGCCGACCUUGAAAUACCACCCUUUAAUGUUUGAUGUUCUAACGUGGGCCCCUUACCGGGGUUGCGGACAGUGUCUGGUGGGUAGUUUGACUGGGGCGGUCUCCUCCUAAAGAGUAACGGAGGAGCACGAAGGUUGGCUAAUCCUGGUCGGACAUCAGGAGGUUAGUGCAAUGGCAUAAGCCAGCUUGACUGCGAGCGUGACGGCGCGAGCAGGUGCGAAAGCAGGUCAUAGUGAUCCGGUGGUUCUGAAUGGAAGGGCCAUCGCUCAACGGAUAAAAGGUACUCCGGGGAUAACAGGCUGAUACCGCCCAAGAGUUCAUAUCGACGGCGGUGUUUGGCACCUCGAUGUCGGCUCAUCACAUCCUGGGGCUGAAGUAGGUCCCAAGGGUAUGGCUGUUCGCCAUUUAAAGUGGUACGCGAGCUGGGUUUAGAACGUCGUGAGACAGUUCGGUCCCUAUCUGCCGUGGGCGCUGGAGAACUGAGGGGGGCUGCUCCUAGUACGAGAGGACCGGAGUGGACGCAUCACUGGUGUUCGGGUUGUCAUGCCAAUGGCACUGCCCGGUAGCUAAAUGCGGAAGAGAUAAGUGCUGAAAGCAUCUAAGCACGAAACUUGCCCCGAGAUGAGUUCUCCCUGACUCCUUGAGAGUCCUGAAGGAACGUUGAAGACGACGACGUUGAUAGGCCGGGUGUGUAAGCGCAGCGAUGCGUUGAGCUAACCGGUACUAAUGAACCGUGAGGCUUAACCUU
rnacentral:rRNA from 1 species